ACCCAGAUGGCGGAAUUGGUAGACGUACGGGACUUAAGAUCCCGUGGAUUUUUGGUCCUUGUGGGUUCAAGUCCCACUCUGGGUA